CCGAGUACCGGGUCUUCGGGCCCCUACUCCCACCCUUUGUGUACCGACCUAUUUUUCGUUGCCUCGGCGGGGUCGAUCCCCAGGGCCUUGCCGCCCUGUGGGGGACCCGCCGGGGGGACACGCCAAAACUCCUGUCAACGGUGACGUCUGAGAAAGAAAACAAACCAGUCA
rnacentral:misc_RNA from 1 species